rnacentral:miRNA from 1 species
GCUUGGCACAUAGGAGUUGCUCAGUAAAUGUUUGUUGAAUGAAUGAAUGAAUCAAUCAAUCAAUCAUUCAAUCAACUUUUCAUGGGGCCAUAGCUGAUGUCC